rnacentral:rRNA from 1 species
GCGCGAAAACUUUACAAUGCUGGCAACAGCGAUAAGGGAACCUCGAGUGCCAGGUUACAAAUCUGGCUGUCGAGAUGCCUAAAAAGCAUUUCAUAGCAAGGGCCGGGCAAGACCGGUGCCAGCCGCCGCGGUAACACCGGCGGAUCGAGUGGUAACCGUUAUUAUUGGGUCUAAAGGGUCUGUAGCCGGCCGGAUAAGUCUCUUGGGAAAUCUGGCAGCUCAACUGUCAGGCUAUCAGGAGAUACUGUCUGGCUCGAGGCCGGGAGAGGUGAGAGGUACUUCAGGGGUAGGGGUGAAAUCUUGUAAUCCUUGAAGGAACACCAGGGGCGAAGGCGUCUCACCAGAACGGACCUGACGGCAAGGGACGAAAGCUAGGGGCA